GAUGAACGCUGGCGGCGUGCCUAAUACAUGCAAGUCGAGCGAACAGACGAGGAGCUUGCUCCUCUGACGUUAGCGGCGGACGGGUGAGUAACACGUGGAUAACCUACCUAUAAGACUGGGAUAACUUCGGGAAACCGGAGCUAAUACCGGAUAAUAUAUUGAACCGCAUGGUUCAAUAGUGAAAGACGGUUUUGCUGUCACUUAUAGAUGGAUCCGCGCCGCAUUAGCUAGUUGGUAAGGUAACGGCUUACCAAGGCGACGAUGCGUAGCCGCCCUGAGAGGGUGAUCGGCCACCCUGGAACUGAGACACGGUCCAGACUCCUACGGGAGGCAGCAGUAGGGACGCUUCCGCAAUGGGCGAAAGCCUGACGGAGCAACGCCGCGUGAGUCAUGAAGGUCUUCGGAUCGUAAAACUCUGUUAUUAGGGAAGAACAAAUGUGUAAGUACCUAUGCACGUCUUGACGGUACCUAAUCAGAAAGCCACGGCUAACUACGUG
rnacentral:rRNA from 1 species